rnacentral:SRP_RNA from 18 species
ACUGGAAAGUGUAACGUCUUUCUGUAAGCAGAGUUGCAGUCUAUAAAAGGAUGAAUUCAUCUGUUGAUGGAAUCACGGUAUAUUCAACGCUUUGUCGAAAUUAGUGUCUUCCAGAGUCUAGUGUCAACAUUCUAGUUCGGGCGUAGGCCUGAGUUAGGAGGUUGUUCAAUACUGGGGAACCGCCCGAGGGUAGCAAUACAGCAGGGAAAACUCAGAGCACUGGCACGGCUGUAAGAUAGCACAAUGGAGAAGUGAUUGGAUAUACUACCAUUGCGGGUGGGAACUACCUUUUUUU